GUUCAUGUAGCUUAUUACAAAGCAAGGCACUGAAAAUGCCUAGAAGAAUCAUU
rnacentral:tRNA from 1 species